ncrna:Nocardioides sp. JS614 Actino-pnp RNA
CUCGGUCCUCGGUAGUGGCUCUCAGCAUCCGGCCGGCUCUGCCGCGCAGAUCUGCGGGCCUCGAUCGAAGACCGGC